rnacentral:rRNA from 1 species
GAUGAACGCUGGCGGCGUGCUUAACACAUGCAAGUCGAACGAUGAUGCCCAGCUUGCUGGGUGGAUUAGUGGCGAACGGGUGAGUAACACGUGAGUAACCUGCCCUUGACUCUGGGAUAAGCCUGGGAAACUGGGUCUAAUACCGGAUACGACCAUCUGGCGCAUGUCAUGGUGGUGGAAAGCUUUUGUGGUUUUGGAUGGACUCGCGGCCUAUCAGCUUGUUGGUGGGGUAAUGGCCUACCAAGGCGACGACGGGUAGCCGGCCUGAGAGGGUGACCGGCCACACUGGGACUGAGGCACGGCCCAGACUCCUACGGGAGGCAGCAGUGGGGAAUAUUGCACAAUGGGCGCAAGCCUGAUGCAGCGACGCCGCGUGAGGGAUGACGGCCUUCGGGUUGUAAACCUCUUUCAGUAGGGAAGAAGCGAAAGUGACGGUACCUGCAGAAGAAGCGCCGGCUAACUACGUG